rnacentral:rRNA from 1 species
CCUACGGGAGGCAGCAGUGAGGAAUAUUGGUCAAUGGGCGGAAGCCUGAACCAGCCAAGUCGCGUGAGGGAUUAAGGCCCUGCGGGUCGUAAACCUCUUUUGCCGGGGAGCAGAGGUCCGGACGUGUUCGGGCCGGGAGAGUACCCGGAGAAAAAGCAUCGGCUAACUCCGUGCCAGCAGCCGCGGUAAUACGGAGGAUGCGAGCGUUAUCCGGAUUUAUUGGGUUUAAAGGGUGCGUAGGCGGGCAUUUAAGCCGGCGGUCAAAUGUCGGGGCUCAACCCCGGCCUGCCGUCGGAACUGGGUGCCUUGAGUGGGCGAGAAGUAUGCGGAAUGCGUGGUGUAGCGGUGAAAUGCAUAGAUAUCACGCAGAACCCCGAUUGCGAAGGCAGCAUACCGGCGCCCUACUGACGCUGAUGCACGAAAGCGUGGGGAGCAAACAGGAUUAGAUACCCGUGUAGUC